rnacentral:rRNA from 1 species
AGUGAACGCUGGCGGUAGGCCUAACACAUGCAAGUCGAACGGCAGCACAGUAAGAGCUUGCUCUUACGGGUGGCGAGUGGCGGACGGGUGAGGAAUACAUCGGAAUCUACUUUUUCGUGGGGGAUAACGUAGGGAAACUUACGCUAAUACCGCAUACGACCUACGGGUGAAAGCAGGGGAUCUUCGGACCUUGCGCGAUUGAAUGAGCCGAUGUCGGAUUAGCUAGUUGGCGGGGUAAAGGCCCACCAAGGCGACGAUCCGUAGCUGGUCUGAGAGGAUGAUCAGCCACACUGGAACUGAGACACGGUCCAGACUCCUACGGGAGGCAGCAGGGGGGAAUAUUGGAAAAUGGGCGCAAGCCUGAUCCAGCCAUACCGCGGGGGGGAAGAAGGCCUUCGGGUUGUAAAGCCCUUUUGUUGGGAAAGAAAAGCAGCAGGUUAAAACCCCGCUGUUCUGACGGUACCCAAAGAAUAAGCACCGGAUAACUUCGG